UUUUUUUUAGUUUGAAGGCCUCCAGACUCUUCCUUUUGGGAGACUUAUCCUUGGUAUCCAGCAGCCCUGUUUUGAGAAACCAAAGCUACAUGAAGAAACCCUGCACAAAGUUCCUGGACAAGAGUCAAACCAGUGAUUGAGAAAUCUUCUGUGAUAACUUCAGCAUGAGACCUUGUGCACAAGAGAUGACAAAGAAUCACCUAAUUGCCCACUUGGUGCAUUGGUAUGUUAUGUGUCCCCUUACAAUCAAAAAUAUUGACUGGAUAUGGGUCAGAGGAACUCGUAUUCACUUCCAACUUUACUGCUUAUUAGUGUUAAAAUUUUUCUUUAUUAUAGUAAAUUGAAUAAAAUUACAUACUUCAUUAAAUUGGCUUAGGGAUAAAUGAAAUGCAUGUAAAGUAUUCCUUAUAGUAUCUGAAGUAUAAAGAGCCCUUUAUGUUUUAUAAUAGUGGUCAAUUUCCUUUUUAUUUUCACCAUUAUUAAACUGAGUGUAUCCUUACUAAAAUAAUUUACAUGUAUAUUUUUACUAAAAAAUUCUGUGUACUGUCCUUCAUCAAUCAAAGGCAGUUAAUAUUUCCUCUGAUAUCAGUGUUGGCUCUUCAAUUUAGGCAAGGUCCCUAUUCCAGUUAGACAGGGUUUUGAGGAUCUGCAUUGUGGCACAGUGGGUUAAGCCCCAGCCCAUAAUGCUAACAUCCACAUCAGAGUGUCAUUUUGAGUCCUAGGUGCUCUGUUUCAGACCCAAGUCCUUGCUGAUGUGACUUGGAUAGUGGAAGAUGGCCCAAGUACAGGCCCCUGCCAUCUAUAUGGGAGUCCAAAAUGGAGUUCCUGGCUUCAGCCUGGUCUAGACCUGACUUUUGCAGCCAUUAAGAGAAUGAACUAGCAGUUGGAAGAGCUCUCUCUCUGUCUUCUUCUCUCUAUUGUUCUGCAUUAAAAUGAAAUAAGAUAAAAUAAAAUAAAAUGGCAAGGUUUUCAGGGACAGUUAAGAUGCCCACAUCCAGAAGCUCUUAGUUUGAUGAAAUCUAAUUUGUCUAUUUUUGCUUUUGUUUGCUCUGUUUUUGUGCUGUGAUCCAAAAAUUUCUUGCCCUUGCCAAAGUACAGAGGUAUAUAUCUUAAGUCUUCUGGGAAUUUCAAAGUUUUAGGUGAGUUUUAGGUGAGUUGAUGUUCCUACAUGGUGACAGACAGAGGUCUAGUCUUCUGUAUGUGGAUAGCCACUUUUCCCAGAACAAUUUAUUAAAAAGACUGUAUUUUUCCAAUUCAUGCUCUUAAAAUCUUUCUCAAAUAUCAAUUGCCUAUAGAUGUAUGAGUUUGCCUCCAAGAUCUCUGUUCAGUUCCACUGAUCAAUGGAUAUGCUUUUAUGCCAAUACUAUGCUGUUUUAAUUACUAUCGGAAAAUACUGUUUAUUCGAGAUAUUAAGAAGUUUUUGAAAACAAUCAUAUAAUUUAAGUGGUAUUUAAUUGAUCAUCACCUACAUGGUUGUUUUAUAUGUCAAGAUUUUAAAAGGUAAGGACAUUAUAUUCAUUACAUUGGUCCACCUGAGUUAAGUCGCAGCUUCACUCUGAACAAAUGCAGGCCAUGGGAAGCAGUGGUGACAGCUCAAGUAGAACCUGUUACCCACAUGAAAGAUCCAUAUUGAGUUCCUGGCUCCUUUCCUUGUUCCACCCUGGCCUGUGUAGGCAUUUGGGGAAUGAAUCAGUGGAUGGAAGCUCUAUAAUGCAUGCUCUCUCUCUCUCUCUCUCUCUCUCUCUCUCUUUCUCUCUCCCUAUUUCCCUCUCCAUUAUUCUCUCCCCACCUUCUGCCCCUCUCCAUGUGUGUGUGUGUGUAUGUGUGUGCAUAUCACCUGCUUUUGUUCUUUGUGGCCAUCAAAUAUUAUUAGCAAAAUAUUACUGAUAUCAGCUUAAACUUAUAAUUAGUGCUUUACCCAUUUGAAAAUAUUUAUUACCCACCAAUUUAAAUGAGGAGCAAAGAGAAGGGAAAGCCUUCGUGGAGCAGGUGCCCUGAUGCAUCUGAGGAACAUGAUCAAGCCCUUCAGUUUUGAAGGCUUGUGAACUAGGGCUACGCACACUAUUGCCAAAUGUAUUACAGUUAUCUUUGCAAACAUAAUCAAAGCUGAGGAGUAUCUUCCCAAGCUCAACACAAUGCAAUGUGAUGCAACUGGGUCUCUUUCCUUCUACUUCUCUCAUUAAAAUCCAAGACAGUUACUACUGCUUUCUUUACAAGUAGGGAGAAAUCAUCUAUAAGGAGCUCAACUAUAAAACUGUAAUCACCAGCAAAUUUUUCCCUUGCAUAGGAAGCAGUAUUUCUAGUUUCUUGCUGAUGAUAAAAGACUAGAAUUGAAACACUACUGUUCCUGUGCAGAUGUGUUCCUGUAAGAUGUUAUGCCUUAAAAUCCUAUUAUAAAUGCCAGAAUGCCUGGGGAUUCUGUACAUGAAAUGACUUUCUAUUGUUCCUUAUACCUCUCAGACUUCUAUGUCAAAAUUUUAGCACACAAAGGAUCAUUACAUGAUCUGUAAUAUGGGACCUCAGCUGCAUAACUGAAUAAUCUUUUGUUUCAAUAUUAGAAUUGAGAGUCUCUGCCUCAGUAUGAGAAUAAGGAAGUUCCAUUUACAUUUCAGAAGCAAUAUUUGCAAACUCAGAGACACUAAAGAGAGAAAAGUAGCUGAAAAGCUGUAUUCAUCCUAAUAGUGUUUAUGUAAGUCUGGUGUUACACAUUUAUCUCUAAAGACCACAUAAAUGCUUUGCCAACAUCUGUGACGUUCAGUAGAAAGUCUCAAAGCCCUUGUUAUUUCUGUGACAGUAACAACAGAAUGAUAAACCCCAGUGCUUUCUAAGGAACUCUGAGGCAAGGAGAAAGUCUCAACAUCAAGAAAAGUAUCUUUGGCUGUCCUAAAUAUGCACUCUGUUGCAUCAGCCAAAUUUCCCCUCAAGGUAUGGUAGUCCAACAUUGUCACUUCUCAGCUAUACUUCACUUUUCAGGUCCUUUCUUAAUUAUAUGUUGGUUUCUAUAGCAGAGCCCCUUAUAGUCAGUGACCUCACAAUAAAGAUCAAGAAAAGGGCUUCUACAGCUGGUGUAAAAUUCUAAGGCCAAUUAGUCCAUUAUCCAUCCUUCUGCCACCCCUUCAUUGUAGUAAAGGGUGAUGGCUGCCAUAUUCUGCCUUUAUCUCACAGUGCUGGUCAUGCUGGCAAUCAUGCUGGCAGUACACAAAUCAUCACGUCCUCCCCCUUCUGCCUCUCAACAUGGAGGAGAAGAGAAAAGAACACGGUAGGAAAGGUCAUGAUCAACAGAUCCACAUGGACUUGGACUAUAUGUUCUCUAUUAUCUCCUAGUCUGAAAAGUUUCUGAUGAGAAACCAGCUGUUAGUCUAAUUGGGUUUCUUCUGAAGGUCUGUAUUGUAAGAAAGGCCACAGCAACAACAGAUUUUCCACACAAAAGAUGAAAAAGCAGCUGACUGCUGGGUUCACUAUAUUUUCUUAAAUGUCUUUCAUGUGGAUGUUCACUAAGUUUUGAUAAACAUUUUUAUUCCUAAGAUUUACCCAAAGUCUAUCAUAUAUGAAAGUUUUUUAAAUAUAUAUAUUGGAUUAAAUGAGUGAAAGCCUUAUUCCUCCCAUUCUUUUCUAGCAGAAUCAGUAAUAAAAGUAAUAAACUUUCUUUUUUGAGGCACCUUGUCUAUAUCUGAUAAUUAUAUAGUUCCUUAAAAAUCAUGUAUCAUAAUCCAUUGUAAAUAAAGUUUUUCAAAUGCAUCAGAGCUACACAAGAGCAUGACCUAAUAGAACAGCUGCCAGACAUGAUACAUCUUCAAACUAACUCAUCUGUAAAUAGCGUCAGAUUUCGGUUUUUAUUUAUUAAUUUAUUUUUAUCAAAGAAAACUUUUAUUUCAGGAAUACAAAUUUCAUAAGUACAACUUUAGGAAUAUAGUGAUUCUUCCCUCCCACCCACUUUCCCACUCCUCCUCCUCCUCCCUCUCCCAUUCUCAGUCCCAUUCUCCAUUAAGAUCCAUAUUCAAUUUAUUUUAUACAUAGAAGACUAACUCUAUGCUAAGUAAAGAUUUCAACAAUUUGCACACACACACAGAGAAAAGUGUUUGAGAACAAGUUUUACAGUUAACUCUCAUAAUACAACUCAUUGAGGACAGAGGUCUUGCAUGGAAAGUUAGUGCCCAGUGACUACUGUUGUUAAUUUAACAAUGAACACUCUUAUGUGUAACAUUAGUGACCACCUGAGGCUGCCUAGGCUACAGAAACCUUUUUAAUCCACAAACUCCAUCAGUAUUUAGAUAAGCCCAUAAGCAAAGUGGAAGUUCUUUCCUUCCUUCAGAGAAAAGUAUAUUCUUCUUUUUUUUUUACUUUUAUUUAAUGAAUAUAAAUUUCCAAAGUACGACUUAUGGAUUACAAUGGCUUCCCCCCCAUACCGUCCCUCCCACCCACAACCCUCCCCUUUCCCACUCCCUCUCCCCUUCCAUUCACAUCAAGAUUCAUUUUCAAUUAUCUUAAUAUACAGAAGAUCAGCUUAGUAUACAUUAAGUAAGGAUUUCAACAGUUUGCUCCCACACAGAAACAUAAAAGUAUAUUCUUCUUUGAUGGCCACUUUUUUUCUACUGGAGUUCACUCACAGAGAUCCUUCAUGUAGAACCUUUUUAGCUGCAGUGUCUUGGCUUUCCAUGCCUUAAAUGCAUACAUGGACUUUACAGCCAGACCAGGAUGCCUUAAGGGAUGAUUCUGAGGUCAGAGUGUUACUUAAAGCAAUUGUCAUUCUAUGAGUCUGCUGUGUGGACUACUUUCCAUGUUGGAAAAUUCUCUCCUUUUAUUCUAUCUAUUAUUAUUGCCAAACACUUGAUCUUAUUUAUAUGAUCACUUUAAUGCUUAAUCCUAUCUAUAUGUUCACUUUAACACUUAAUAUGAUCCCUUUGGCACUUAAAAAGGAAUUUUUUACCACCCAGUUUAAGGGAAUUUGGGGUCCUAUGACAAGUUUUUAAAUUAUUCCUUAGAAGUAACUCCAUAGGAAUGUAUGCAGAACCGUACAUACAGUUACAAACUUCCUCCUCCCUCUCUUAUUCUCACUUUUAUUUUUUUACUGAGAUCUAUUUUAAAUUGACUUUAUACACAUAUGAUUAACUCUGUGUUAAGUACAGAGUUCAACAAAUAGUAAGAAGAAAAAAAAACUGUUACUCGACAGUCAAUACAAGGGCUGUUCAAGUCAUUGCUUCUCAAAGUGUCAAUUUCACUUCUACAGAUUUUCUUUUAGAUGCUCUAUUAGUUAUCACAGCUCAGGGAGAAUAUAUGGUAUUUGUCCCUUUGGGACUAGCUGAUUUGCAGAUCACAUGAUUCUAUAUAUAGGAAAUACAAAAGAAUCCACUAAAAGACUAUUGGAUGAGAUCGGGCGCAUUCAGGGUGGUAUGGCUGUAGACUAUUAAAAGAGUUUGGUAAAGUAUCAGGUUAUAUAAUCAAUACAUAAAAAUCAACAGACUUUGUAUACACAGAUGAUGCCAAGUCUGAGAAUGAACUUCUAAGAUAAAUCCCAUUUACAACAGUUACAAAAAAAUAAAAUACGUUGGAAUAAAUUUAACCAAGGAUGUCAAAGAUCUUAAUGAUGAGAAUUACAAAACAUUAAAGAAAGAAAUUGAAGAGGAUACAAAAAAAUGGAAAAAUCUUCCAUGUUCAUGGAUUAGAAAAAUGAUAUCAUCAAAAUGUCCAUUCUUAUGAAAGCAAUUUAUAGAUUCAGUGCAAUACCAAUAAAAACACCAAAGACAUUCUUCUCAGAUAUAGAAAAAAUUAUGCUGAAAUCCAUAUGAAAACACAGGAGACUUCAAAUAGCUAAAACAAUCUUAUACAACAAAAAUAAAGUCAGAGGCAUCACAAUACUAGAUUUCAAGAUAUACUACAAGGCAGUUAUAAUCAAAACAGGCUGGUAUUGGUACAAAAACAGAUGGAUAGAUCAAUGGAACAGAAUAGAAAUGCCAGAAGUCAAUCCAAGCUUCUAUUAUCAAGUUAUAUUUGACCAAGGAGCUAAAACCAAUCCCUGGAGCAAAGAGUGUCUCAUCAACAAAUGGUGCUAGGAAAACUUGAUUUCACAUGCAGAAGUAUAAAGCAAGUUUUCAGAUUUUUGUAAGGGGGAUUUCUCUAAAGUAAUUGAAAUAUAAUUAGAUUUGGAGAACAGAGACUUAGAAUCUAGUAUUACAUGCAUCACCAACUAGAUACUCCAUAUUGGGCAAAUGAUUAAAUUGGGCUUAAAUUCCCUUAUGUUAAAAUGAAGAGCUUGAAUUCUGAUCUUUACAUAUCAGUAACUUUGAAAUUAUGGAUUUACAAUAACGUGUAACUUCGAUCCAAAUAAUCAUAUAUUUCCAGGAUUGGAGUUUUAAUUUUAUGACAUAUUGAUACUACUAUCGCUACCACAAGAACAAAUUUUGAUGAAGAGCAGGACAUUUUCAUGUAGUACUAUUUCUGAAAAAAUACAAUUGAUUUUAUGGCCAUCUGCUCCUGAUAUAGCUCUUGGAAAUGCAGUUUUCUAAAAAGUACAGCUUGCAUACAAUAGGAAAGUGCCACUAUGCUCAAAAAUAAUUCCCUUUUGUGGUUUUUUUUUCCUACACAGUCUAUGGGUUUGCACUACAUUUUCGAACAAGUUUACAAACAUGUUCUACUUAGUCUUGAUUAUAAAUUCUAGCUAUUGAUGACUGCUGUUGUCCAUGACCUUUGUUGAAGGUUACAAAAAUAGAAAAUAAAUCAAUCAAGUGAUCAACUAAUAUGCUAUUAAAAUAAUUAAGGUCAUUUCUCACUUAUACCUAGGGAGACACAAGGCUGCACGUUCUUGCAUAUUCCUCCUAUUCACUAAGGCAAUAUGGAAAAGUAACUUUUCACUGUAUAACUAUUAUGCCAUCAGGCAAACUUUUCAGUGGGUUACCUUCUUUUUUUAUGGAGGAGAGAAUACACCAUCUUACUUAUAAAGCAGAGCACCACGUCAUGAACAUAUAUUUUGUGCUUCCUUGACAUUAAUUGUUAUCUAAUAAAAUGUGAGUUCCAGAUACAAGGGUUUUUGUCUUAUACAUUGUUAUAUUCCCAAAAUACAUUGUAGACAUUCCAAAAAUAUUAAUCUAAUAAAUGAAUAGUAUAAUAAAAUCUUGAUUGUAGUAUUUGUAGUAUAUCCAAGAGUUACUGCAAUGAAAACAAAAACAUACAUAGGUACUUUCUUGUCUAAAAUAUGUUUGGGUGUCUCAGACAAUAGUCCAAGUUGUAUUUUCAGUCUAGAUCAUAUCAGGAGAAAAACAUACUGGUUGGGACCUCAAACAGUCUCAGAGUGUCCCAUGGAUUCUCAAAGUUCAUCAGAAGCCUGCUGUACACUCAGAACCUGGGCUCAGAUCUUGGUAACACAAAAAGUUUAAGUUACCAUCUAUUUCAAAUAGUGGUCCUCAAAUUGCCUCAAAGGGAUUGAAGUAGUCUGUGCAAAAAGAUCCAUAGUUGGGGCCGGCACUGUGGAGUAGUGGGCUAAGCCUCUGCCUGAAGGGCCGGCAUCCCAUAUGGGCACGGGUUCAGGUCCUGGCUGUUCCUGUUCUGAUACAGCUCUCUGCCAUGGACUGCGAAAGCAGUGGAAAAUGGCCAAAGUGCGUAGGCCCCUGCACCUGAUUGGGAGACCAGGAAGAAACUCCUUGCUCCUGACUUCGGAUCGGCCAACCUCUAGCCAUGUAAGCCUUUUGGGGAGUGAACCAGCAGAUGGAAGAGCUUUCUCUAGAUAUCUCUGUCUGUAACUCUGCCUCUCUAAUAAAUUAAUAAAAAUCUUAAAAAAAUUGUAAAUGACAGGUUUAUCAUUAUGCUCUUCAACUGUGUUUGUUAUUCAGUGUUGUCUAAGAAUGUAGUUAUAUAUCACAGUGAUGUGGGGUGAAUUUAGUCCUUCUUAGAUUUUCUAUUCAUUAAAUGGAAAUUGUGACUGAAUUGCUGCCAUCAAAAUUUCACUUUUUAUUACUAUUGGGAACUGGUUCUCCAAAAUUUUGCAUUUUGAUACUGCUCAUCUGAGGACCACAUUUUGAGAAAAUGUGCUCUAGAUUAUGUGAUAUUCAUCUUAUUGUUCAAAGUAUUCUUCAAAUCAGCUAGCUCUUGUACACAGUAAGUGUGUUCUUGUUAGGGACUAUGUGUUAUUACUUUUUUAAAAUUUCAGCUCUUAACAGAUGUGCUGAAACAUGAUAGAUACUGAAUAAGUUUUAAGUGAAUGAAUAAAUUGCCUACCUAAACCCUUGUCUGUUAUAACAUCAUUUUAAAGGUGUGUGGUUAAUGUUAAAAUUGACUUCUGUUAUUCACAAAUGUGAGAAACCAAGGUUCCCCUCCACUGUGGUUUGCUUGAAGAAUGUUCUUCACAGUAGAUUCAGCUCAUCACCAAUUUUAUGCCUUUUCUUAAAGAUGAACCACCUAGUCUUUAGAAAGAUAACUAAAGUUUUAAGAUAAAACUCAUUAAAUCUGCUUUCUCUAGAAACACAGCUCUACAUAAGAUUAUUUAACAUUGUAUAUCUACUCACCAUGUCAAUUCAUCAUCUAAAAAAUAUUGUGUCAUCCUUUAUUAAAUUACAUUACUCAUAUUUCAGCUUGAGCUCAUUAGGAAGCAACUAUAAUAUUGAGAUCUGCAAGUAGACAAUUUAUUGCAAUCAUCACUUGUGUGAUGAAAAGAAGCAGUAAUGUGUAGAGGACAAGGUAGAAGGCAAUGCAGCCUCAGACAAGGUCUUGGCAAAAUCCAUGUGGAGCCUUAAAGAGGGGUCAAUCCCAUACCAAGCAGUAUUUAGAUUUAGGCUGCUUCUAUGAAGGGAGAGUUAUUUUGGCAAGGCAUCACUCCAAAGGCAAUUUCCAGAGAUCUUGGAAUAAAUACAUUAGUCCCGCCACAAGAUUGGGGGACAUACUACAGUAGUUAUUACAUAAUUAGUAAGAUAUAAUACCCUUAACUUAAAUCAAAGUAGUUACUAUUAAAUGAUGAUACUUUAAAAUUUUUAAUAUAUUAUCUAAUUAGUGAUUGUUAGCAUAUAGAGGGGUACUUCAAAAAUUCAUGGAAAGCAGAAAGAAAAGAUAAAAAAUUUGCAAUGCAUGCAAAUAUUUUCACAAUACACAUAUGCCAUGAACUUUUUGAAGACCUCUAGUUGCAUGUUUAUCUUCAAUGUCACAUUUUAAAUAAUCUAAAGGAAAAGGGUACACAUUCUAUCUCCCUACCACUGUCUUUACAAGAAGUAUUAUUGUUGAUAGGAGACAUAAAUGAUAAAAACUAAAAAACUGUACAUUCAUUUUAGUCACUCAUUGGAUGUUAAGAAAAUAGCAUUGAUUUUUAUAUUUAUUAACGUGUACAUGUUUAUAGUUAAAAUGCUAGACAUUCUUAUACAUGUUACUUGAUAUUAUAUUGUCUGCCAAAUCAGGGAUUGUUUUAUCUACCAUCUGAGUUAUAUUGGCAAUCACAUAUGAAGAGCCAUGUAGGUACCAGAUAAAUACACAAUUUUAAACAAAUGCAUGCAAAAAGUCUGUUCAAAUUUCUCUGCCUUAGUCAUAUUAGAUAAAACUCCAGUGCUUCAAAGAGUAGUGAAGAGUAAUCAUGUUAGAGAGUAAGAGCUAGAGAACUCAGUAGCCAUGCUGUCAAGUCUUACUGUGAUCUCAUGAGAAUGGGGAGGGUGUUGAACUUUUCGUUCCAUUUGGUUAACAGUAGGAAUAAACAGAUUGUCCUCAGGCUGCCUAUUUGUGUAAUUAGGAAGUACCAAAACAAAUACCCCCAAAUAGAGGUAGAUGUGAACGUACUCCUUAAUGUGCCACUUAACUCAGAUUCUAUUCACUUAUAUGUAUGUGGUUGUUGUGUGUGACCAUAUAUUGAAGACAAUGGUGACUAUAUGGAAAUAACUUUAAUAUAUACAGGUGAUCAGAAAAAUCUAUCAAUAUAAAAAGAAUUAUUUGGGUGUGUUCUGAAUGUUUUAAUAUAUUUUUACUUUUAGUGUCAUUCUAAACUAAAACAGAUAAAGCAAACAUUUCAACUUGGCUAACAUGGGCUCAUCCCUGUUUGCUUUUUCAUUGUGAGGUCACCACCUCAUAUCCAUUCUUGAAGUGUCUGAAUAGCUUUCAUGUUUAUAUUUCUUCAGAAGCAACUAGACCCUAAUGUCUGGAGAUUAGGAAAUAAAUAUAACUUUGGUUAUUUUAAAAUUUUUAUUUCAAGUUACUUUAUGCUAUCACAACUUGUUAUGCUCCAAGCUUUAAUUACACUCAACCUUCUACUGCAGUCAUACCAAACAUUUUCCUUUUGCUCUCUCCUAGCUUUAUUUUGGCCUCUAGUAUCUCAGUGCUAAAAAUGAUUCCCGUUGUUGACUUAACAAAUUGACACUCUUGUUUAUGGCAUCAGUAAUCACCCUAGGCUCUUGUCAUGAGCUGCCAAAGCUAUGGAAGCCCCCCGAGUUCACGGACUCUGAUCAUAUUUAGACAAGGCCAUGGUCAAAGUGGAAGUUCUCUCCUCCCUUCAGAGAAAGAGCCUAGGGUGAUUACUGAUGCCAUAAACAAGAGUGUCAAUUUGUUAAGUCAACAACAGGAGUCACUGUGCACUUAAUCCUCAUGUAGGAUCUUUGUCCUUAGUGUGCUGUACAUUGAGAUUUAAUGCUAUAACUAGUACUCAAACAGUAUUUUUCACUUUAUGUUUCUGUGUGGGAGCAAACUGUUGAAAUCUUUACUUAAUGUAUGCUAAACUGAUCUUCUGUAUAUAAAGAGAAUCAAAAAUGAAUCUUGAUGUGAAUGGAA